UACAGAGGUCCCAAGCGUUGUUCGGAUUCACUGGGCGUAAAGGGUGCGUAGGUGGUAGGGUAAGUCGGAUGUGAAAGCUCGGAGCUCAACUCCGAAAUGGCAUUGGAAACUACCCAACUAGAGGGUCGGAGGGGGGACUGGAAUUCUUGGUGUAGCAGUGAAAUGCGUAGAUAUCAAGAGGAACACCAGUGGCGAAGGCGAGUCCCUGGACGACUCCUGACACUGAGGCACGAAAGCUAGGGGAGCAAACAGG
rnacentral:rRNA from 1 species